UACGUAGGGUGCAGGCGUUAAUCGGAAUUACUGGGCGUAAAGCGUGCGCAGGCGGUCUGCUAAGAGAGAUGUGAAAGCCCCCGGGCUUAACCUGGGAACUGCGUUUGAUACGGAUGGGCUAGAGUUCGGGAGAGGAGAGUGGAAUUCCCAGUGUAGAGGUGAAAUUCGUAGAUAUUGGGAAGAACACCGGUGGCGAAGGCGGUCUCUGGUCGGAUACCGUA
rnacentral:rRNA from 1 species